CAGUCGCCGCGGGAAUACGAAGGGUGCAAGCGUUACUCGGAAUUACUGGGCGUAAAGCGUGCGUAGGUGGUGGUUUAAGUCUGCUGUGAAAUCCCCGGGCUCAACCUGGGAAUGGCAGUGGAUACUGGCUCGCUAGAGUGUGUCAGAGGAUGGUGGAAUUCCCGGUGUAGCGGUGAAAUGCGUAGAGAUCGGGAGGAACAUCAAUGGCGAAGGCGGCCAUCUGGGACAACACUGACGCUGAGGCACGAAAGCGUGGGGAGCAAACAGGAUUAGAUACCCGCGUUGUCCCUGUCUCUUAUAC
rnacentral:rRNA from 1 species